CUCCGCACUCUCGACCAGAGCCCUCUAGGGUUUCCUUUCGCCGCCAUGCGCGGCUGCGAGAGAUUCAGGCUGUAGAAGAAGCACCUCGCGGAGGUGCACGGUUACACAAAGACCGCGACCUCGGCAGCCACCUCGGUGAUACUCCGCCGCCACCCAGAUCCGCAAGAAAAGAGCCCACCGGCGCCGCCAAAACGCUCCGGCCGCGCCGGUCGCCCUCAGCGACGCCGUCAACCAUCAGGAACACCUGGCGGCGUCCAGUACGUUGGUGAGCUUGACGACAACUGUUACUGGGGCAAUGAGGUGAAGCUCUACGAGCACCAAGUAGACACUCUCUUUGCUAUGUUUUGGCACGAAAAGCCGGACAUCAAUUACUACAUCUACACAAUCAACAAGACGUUUGCCGAACUAGGCCAGCGCAUGUAUUUCCAGGUUAACUAUACUGAAGAGAACCUGCUCGACUACAUUGAUCCAAACAAUGAUACACUCAUGGUCAGACUUGCAGAUGGCCAUUUGCUCGCCAAGUGUUGCAUCAUGGUAGCAAGUGACAAGAGGGCCACUAUAACCACCAACUGGUAUGAGUUUCGUCGCCGCGCCAACAUUCGUGAAGGAGACAUCUGUGCAUUUCGUUUCAGGAUCACUUCAAACCGUCGCCUGGUUCUCACCGUGCACCGCCUCUAGAUGCACAAUCGAAGACGUUGCAGCCCCUGUGUUAAUAUAAUCUAAUAUAAUGCACUACUAAGUACUCCUAAUUAUGCUAUAUCCUGUCAUGACCUAUGGUCCUCUUUUGUGCACUCUUAUAUCAUGCUUUUUAAGACCUA